rnacentral:rRNA from 1 species
UGACAAAGUUCAACGGCCGCGGUACCCUAACCGUGCGAAGGUAGCAUAAUCACUUGUUCUUUAAAUGAGGACUCGUAUCAACGGCACUACGAGGGCUAUACUGUCUCCUUUUUCUAAUCAGUGAAACUGAUCUCCCCGUGAAGAAGCGGGGAUCAAAAUAUAAGACGAGAAGACCCCAUGGAGCUUUAAACUCACUAUACACCUCUGUGCCUUUAUGUCACUAGACACAAGAGAUCUGCGUACUAGUUUUAGGUUGGGGGGACCACGGAGUAUAAUUUAACCUCCAUAACAAAUGGGCUAACACCCUUAUCUACGAGACACAACUCUAAGAACUACUAAACUAAUGCUUAUGACCCGAUAUUCGAUCAAUGAACCAAGUUACCCUGGGGAUAACAGCGCAAUCUACUUCAAGAGCCCAUAUCGACAAGUGGGUUUACGACCUCGAUGUUGGAUCAGGGUAUCCCGGUGGUGCAGCCGCUACCGACGGUUCGUUUGUUCAACGAUUAAAACCCUACGUGAUCUGAG